rnacentral:rRNA from 1 species
AUUGAACGCUGGCGGCAGGCCUAACACAUGCAAGUCGAACGGUAACAGGAAACAGCUUGCUGUUUCGCUGACGAGUGGCGGACGGGUGAGUAAUGUCUGGGAAACUGCCUGAUGGAGGGGGAUAACUACUGGAAACGGUAGCUAAUACCGCAUAACGUCGCAAGACCAAAGAGGGGGACCUUCGGGCCUCUUGCCAUCGGAUGUGCCCAGAUGGGAUUAGCUAGUAGGUGGGGUAACGGCUCACCUAGGCGACGAUCCCUAGCUGGUCUGAGAGGAUGACCAGCCACACUGGAACUGAGACACGGUCCAGACUCCUACGGGAGGCAGCAGUGGGGAAUAUUGCACAAUGGGCGCAAGCCUGAUGCAACCAUGCCGCGUGUAUGAAGAAGGCCUUCGGGUUGUAAAGUACUUUCAGCGGGGAGGAAGGGAGUAAAGUUAAUACCUUUGCUCAUUGACGUUACCCGCAGAAGAAGCACCGGCUAACUCCGUG